rnacentral:rRNA from 1 species
UACGGGGGGAGCAAGCGUUGUUCGGAUUUACUGGGCGUAAAGGGCGCGUAGGCGGCCAGCACAAGUCAGUUGUGAAAUCUCCGAGCUUAACUCGGAAAGGUCAACUGAUACUGUGCGGCUAGAGUGCGGAAGGGGCAACUGGAAUUCUUGGUGUAGCGGUGAAAUGCGUAGAUAUCAAGAGGAACACCUGCGGCGAAGGCGGGUUGCUGGGCCGACACGUGACGCUGAUGCGCGAAAGCUAGGGGAGCGAACGGG